AAGACAUUAGUAAAAUUCGUAAAUUACAUCACUUUGUCAAGGUGAAAUCGUAGGUUAAAUCCCUGCAUGUCUUA
rnacentral:tRNA from 1 species